UCUUCCGUAGUAUAGUGGCCAGUAUGUGAGCCUGUCAUUCAAACUCCGCAGGGGAGUCAGUGACCCUCGCUCGAGACCCGGGUUCAAUUCCCGGCGGGAGAG
rnacentral:tRNA from 1 species